AACGCGAAGAACCUUACCUGGGCUUGAACCGCACAGGACCAUCUUUGGAAACAGAGACUUCCCGCAAGGGACCUGUGUAGAGGUGCUGCAUGGCUGUCGUCAGCUCGUGCCGUGAGGUGUUGGGUUAAGUCCCGCAACGAGCGCAACCCUUACUCAUAGUUGCUACCCGCAAGGGAGAACUCUAUGAGGACUGCUCCGGAUAACGGAGAGGAAGGUGGGGAUGAGGUCAAGUCAGCAUGGCCUUUAUGUCCAGGGCUACACACGUGUUACAAUGCGCGCCACAAAGCGUCGCGAACCCGCGAGGGGGAGCUAAUCGCAAAAAAGCGCGCUCAGUUCGGAUUGCAGUCUGCAACUCGACUGCAUGAAGCCGGAAUCGCUAGUAAUGGCGCAUCAGAACGGCGCCGUGAAUACGUUCCCGGGCCUUGUA
rnacentral:rRNA from 1 species